GAAAGCUUAGUGAAGACAGCCGGCAUUGUACCAAAGGCAAUGUGAUUGGUUUUGCCCUAGUCCAGUAGUUUUGGUUCUUGCGGCUGAAUGAUGGCUUUUGGAGUUAAUUUACAGGUGCUUUGCAUGAUAGCAGUCUGCUACAUUGCUGUAGGAAAAAGCGCUACCUUUGGCCUCCCUACAAAAUAUGAUUUGAGUGCUGGCUCUGUGGACAGCAGCUUGGGGCCCAGUGAAGUGCUUGUGGCAACUACAUAUGGUUCUACCCAAGGCACAACUCUCGCCUGAUUUUAGUGGUACUGUAGGCUCUGAGGGUGACCAGAGUUCACGCCAGCCUGAUGUAGGUUCUAUUGGCUACUGUACUGCUACAGUACACAUAGGGUCUCAGCCACGUUAUCCCAGUGCCCAGCAGCUAGGGUCUAAGCAAGGCCUACCCAGUGCCCAGCAGCUAGGGUUUCAGCAGGGGCAAGGGUCUCAGCAGGGCUACCCCAGUGCUCAGUUGUGGCUUCAGCAGGGUUACUACAGGGUAGGCCCAGCUGUCCUCUCAGCAGGAGCAAGGGUCUCGGUGGGCCAAUUGCAAUAGCUGGACUCCAUACCAAAAAAGCUUAGGGUUUUGGCAGGGGUAUCCCAACGACCAGGGGCAAGGAUCCCAGCAGGGUUCCACCACCUCGGUCAACUUUGCUUCUAGCCAGACCCCUUGGUCUGCUCAAGUCUUGGGUUCCCAGGCUGUCUCUGGUCUGGGUAGCAGUGGGUCUGUGAAGCACUUUGAGCAGAAGCUGAAUGCAUUUGGACCCAAGGAGCUAUCAUUUGGAGUCCUUGCAGCACUUCAUGCCAGGUGAGGUGAAGCUUGCAUAUAAUCCAAGAACUUUGAUUUACUUCUGUAAUUCUUUUUCCCCAUUUCUCAACAAUUUGCUUGGUUCUGCACUAUU